CUGCGGGCAGCCUUUGGAAUUGGAUGAGCAUUUGAGGUGCCACAAGCGAUGAUGGCCGCUGCAUCCGAGACUGGAAUUCCUGCGGAGCAGGUGAUGAAGAGGAGCCUGGCAACUGGAGGAAUAUGUUGGUUUGCUGAUGUGGCUUUUGUCGAGGAUGGAUUCAGACCCCCGGCCCUCUGACAGCUAAGUUGAGG